CCAAGACUGAGACUGCGGGGUGCCUCUUGGGAAGGGAAGAGGUUUUUCGUCGACAAAUAUUUUUAUAUUUAAAGUAGAACUCUUUAAAUAAUAGAAAACUAUGAAACACGCACCACUGAUAUGUUAUAAAAGAAAUAAGAGCGUUCACAUGGGCACUUAGUCGAUGUGGUUACCUAAAAGAGCUUGAAGACUUGCAGAACACUGUGCCAAUCGUUCCUCUGGGUC